UACAGAGGGUGCGAGCGUUGUUCGGAAUCACUGGGCGUAAAGGGCGUGUAGGCGGCUGGAUAAGUGGGAUGUUAAAUCCCCCGGCUCAACCGGGGACCUGCAUCUCAUACUGUUCAGCUCGAGCACAUCAGAGGAGACUGGAAUUCCCGGUGUAGUGGUGAAAUGCGUAGAUAUCGGGAGGAACACCAGUGGCGAAGGCGACUACCUGGCCUGUUCUUGACGCUGAGGCGCGAAAGCUAGGGGAGCAAACGGG
rnacentral:rRNA from 1 species